rnacentral:rRNA from 1 species
GACGAACGCUGGCGGCGUGCUUAACACAUGCAAGUCGAGCGGAGCGGCGAACGGGUGAGUAACGCGUGAGUAACUGCCCCCCUCUCUGGGCUAACAGUUUGAAACGGUUGCUCAUACCGGAUAGUGGCGGAUGACUCGCGGCCUAUCAGCUUGUUGGUGGGGUAGUGGCCUACCAAGGCGACGACGGCUAGCCGGCAUGAGAGGGCGACCGGCCACAUUGAGCUGAGGUACGGCCCAAACUCGUACGGGAGGCAGCAGGGGGGAAUAUAGCACAAUGGGGGAAACCCUGAUGCAGCAACGCCGCGUGCGGGAUGACGGCCUUCGGGGUGUAAACCGCUUUCAGCCAUGACGCGGUAGUGGCAGAAGAAGCACCGGCUAACUACGUGCCAGCCGCCGCGGUAAUUC